rnacentral:rRNA from 1 species
AUGAUUAAUCUCUUUAAUUCAAUGGAAGGCAAUGGUAUUGUAGCUGACUGCAAUGUUUUCAACAUAUUAAUUGAUGCAUAUGCUAAAUGUGGAAUGAUGCAUGAAGCUAUGCUCAUAUUUACCAAAAUGCGGGAACAAGGAGUGAGUCCGAAUGUAUGCACCUAUGCAACUGUAAUAGCUGCACUUUGCAGAAUGGGUAGGCUGUCUGAUGCAAUGGGCAAAUUAAAUGAGAUGAUUGCUACGGGAUUACAACCGGACGUGGCUAUUUAUACAUCCCUAAUUCAGGGCUUCUGUACACAUGGUGAUUUGGGGAAAGUGAAGGAGCUGGUUUCUGAAAUGAUGAACAAAGGUAUGCCUCGUCCAAACAUUGUGUUCUUCAGCUCAGUAAUAAACAGUCUAUGCAAAGAAGGAAGAGUUACAGAUGUACACAGUAUCUUCGACUUGGCUAUAAACAUUGGUGAGAGGCCUGACGUUAUUACAUUUACUUCACUGAUUGACGGAUAUUGUUUAGUUGGCAAGAUGGAUAAAGCAUUCAAAGUACUUGAUGACAUGGUAUCAGCUGGCAUUGAGCCUGAUGUUUAUACAUAUACUACCCUUCUUGAUGGCUAUUCUAGAAAUGGAAGGAUUGAUGAUGGGUUGACACUAUUCAGCGAAAUGAUGCAUAAAAAAAUUAAACCUACAACUGCUACAUAUGGCACCUUACUAAAUGGGUUGUUUCGUGCUUGGAGAACUGCUUCUGCGAAGAAAAUGAUCCAUGAGAUGAUUGAAAGUGGAACAACAGUGAGCCUUUCAAUAUACGCUAUAAUUCUUGAAGGACUUCGUAGAAAUAAUUGCACUGAUGAAGCAAUCACGCUGUUCCAGAAAGUACGUGCAAUGAAUAUAAAAUUGGAUGUUGCAAUACUCAAUACCAUGAUCAAUGCAAUGUUUAAGGUUCAAAGAAGAGAAGAAGCUAAUGAUUUGUUUGCUUCAAUAUCGGCCAGUGGAUUGGUACCUAAUGCUUCUACCUACCGCACAAUGAUAACAAAUCUUCUAAAAGAAGGAUUAGUGGAAGAAGCUGAAAACAUGCUCUCAUCAAUGGAGAAGAGCUGUUGUGCUCCGGACUCUCGUCUUAUUAAUGAUACCAUCAGAAUAUUAUUGGAACAAGGUGAGGUCGUCAAGGCUGGAAAUUAUAUGUCUAGAGUUGAUGGCAAGAGCAUCUCACUUGAAGCUUCAACUACUUCGCUGCUGAUACGUCUCUUUUCAAGGGAAGGAAAAUAUAGGGAGAAAAUAAAAUUGCUCCCUGUAAAGUAUCAAUUUUUUGGUGGAGCUACAGUUGAG